rnacentral:lncRNA from 1 species
ACAAUCUUAAUACAUUCAAUUUCUUAUCUUGUAGCGGUAAAAGAAACUAUGAAUUAUCAAAAUAGAAAAAAUGUGUUCAACAAUGGAGAAAAUAAGGCAAUUAAGCCAGUGUUUGUUCCCUAAUGCAAAAUGUGACAGCUUUCUGGAUCAGUGUGUCAUUCCUUGAACAAGCUCACCAUUUGAAUGAGUAUGCCACUGUACACAUAUAGCGGUAGAUGGUUAGACGACAAAAAAUUGACAUGCAUAUUGGAUAUCUUACUCACUAUAUAAUAUCCUAAUGGUCUAUAUACUCAUUCAUGAGAUGCUUCAUUGGUGUUGUUGCUAUUUAUGUAACAGUUUGAGAAAUAAUAUGAUUAAAGCCAAUGAGUUGAUCACUAAUCAUGAUAUAAGGAUACAGAGAAAGGAAUGCAGUAGCAGACUACUUAGAAAAUUAUGACUUUGAAAAUCAACAAACAACAGUUUAAACAGCAGUAGCAGACUACUCAUGCCAAAAGAUUUGUUAAAAUACGAAAAUCACAACUAUCAGUCAUCAGAAUUACAACACACAAGGAAAGGUAAGAUCAACAAUGAAGAAUCACAAUUCAAGAGUCCCAAUUACUUACAAUUGACAGUGCAAUUGUAGUUUUUUCAAUGUCAGGUGUGGAAACUUUUUCAUAGUAUUUUGUUAUCCAGGGUUCAAUAAACUAUUUCAGAUGCCCAACCUGAGAGUACUUGAUUGGCAAUGUAAUCUCAACAUGAGUAAGCCUUAGAAAUCAAACAAAACCCACAGGCCAUAGCAUCUUGCACACUUAAAGACAUGAUGUUGCAGAGAUAACCACAAGCCUAGUGUUACCUAGAAGGACUACGAUGUGACAUACCAAAGGCAAUAGCCUCAAAAUUCUGUAUAACAAGGAAAUAGAUUUUGAGAAAGACAUACCUGACAUAAUCCCAAUGUUCUUCCUCCCAGAAACAUGGCCUAUAACAGAUGCAGAAAUGAGGGAAAUUUUCAGUAUAUCUGUGAUAGUAGAAGAGAAGAGAGGUUUCCACGGCUCACUACAAUAUUAUCAAAAAACGACUUUAAGAUAACGCAUUAAAACAAUCACAAAAAUUAAUAGCGUAAAGCUUGAGACAAGUAACAGAAACUUGGCUGGAAAAAAUAAAUAAAUUGCAGUAGCUUCAAAAUAGUUGAUAUGCACUCACCUUCAAUUGGAGGAAUUUGAAAUUUUAGUCCGUAACGAUUUCUAUACCAUCAACUCCACCCCUUACCCAACCAUUGUUGUCAUCUUCUAAAUCACGAAUAUUUUCUAAGAUAGUUAAAUCAGUUGUAUCACACUGCAUUGAUGAGUCAAGUUUUUUACUAUUUUCUUCUCCCAUAUCAAAAAUGUCUCGCGGUUUAAUUGACCUAGGGACAAACUAUUCAUGAUCUUCAGGAUCUUGAACAAAUAUCACUUGCUGAGCUUGUCCAGCAAAAACAAAUGGCUCAUCACUUAUCCGGUCACCUGAAUGUAUUAGAUGUGAGAAGUUCACAAGUGUGAAACCUAAGUCGUCUUUCAUAACUCCUCGACCUUGAGUUACAUCAACCCAAUCACAUUUAAACAAGACGACUUUAAAUUUUUCAUAGUAGUUCAACUCAACAAUAUCAUUCAGUCUGCCAUAAUAUGUAAUAUUUCCUGAUUUUGGAGCACUGUCACUAGUACUUGCAUAGCUCUCUGUCAUUGAGACAACCAGAACCCCACUAUUUUGUGUCUGCAUGAACUCUUCAUACUGUUUUGUACGAAAUCGAUACCCAUUAUUCAUAUGGAAUGCCUUGAAUCUUCUUGCGAAGUAACAUGGACCUUGUGCAAGGGCUUUAAUAUCAUUUGAGAUAUUAGAUAUGAGAUCCAACUUUUUGACCUGCCCAAAGAGCAAUAGACAACUGUAGUUACAAAUAUUAGUACAAGAGACGAUACUUUAAAGUAGGUGACUAUUGAAUCUUACUACUUACUUUCUCCUUGAACCAUUCAUGAAAAUUUUCAAAAUGCAAGCGAUUAAGCUGUGUUGGGUAAGGCGGCGUUUGCGAUGCAAUCGUUUGAUUUCACUAAUAUGCUCACUCAUAUUGUCCCAAGCAACGUUGUCUUGCUCUUAACUAGUGAUGGAAGGCUCACUAUGCAAGUAGGUAGCCAGGAAAUCUCUGUCAUCAAUCUAUCUCGAGCCAUUGCUUGAGCUUCCGUGCUGGACACGAAAGACUUUGUGCUCUAUGAUUUAGAUCGCAAUGUCAUUUGGUGAAGUUUUGAUAAUCCAACAAACACAAUUUUACCUGGUCAACAUAUAUCAGCUGGACAAGAGCUGUUCUCGAGUGCCAGAUGAUUUAUUCGGGAUUUUCUGCCUCAAAAUGCAAAAUGAUGGGAACCUUGUUCAGUACCCUGUCGAUACAACAAAUAGUGCCCAAUAUGCUUACUACGCAACAGACUUGCACAAUUCCACUAAUAGGCUAAGAAAUCUAACCAGAGGAGGCUACGUAGAGAAAGGACCACCAUCUAUAUGCUGAAAAUCUAAUACAAGUAGUGCUUAGCACAACACACAAUGCACAGAAUACAACUCUCGCAGCAAACUACAACACAUUACAAUCCUCAUAUAUCACAAUUUCAACACAAAACAAUCAUUAUCAUCCAAUCACAUUCAAGACAAAAGAAUCAGAGCGCAUCGGCAUACCUUGAGGCGGUGACAAAGGGUUAGAAAUCGAUGGCGGACGAAGGAGACGGAGAUGGAAACUACGAAGUCGAAGACGAAGAAGAUGAAACUUCAGAUCAAUUUUGUGAGCUCAGAGCUGUCGCUUCAGAUGGGAAUGGAGAAAGAGAGAUCGAAAAUUUUGGAAUUUGGGAAUUUUGUGUAAGAAAAAGUAUUUAUUUUUAUUGAAUGAAAUAGAAUUUAGCUUUUUUAUUAGAUUUUUUAAGUAAGUGUCGUUAAAAAGUUUACUUUUACCGGCUAAUGGUCAAUUG